CCUUCUGUUUCUGGACUGAGGUAGUCCAUAAGACCAUGCAUAAGAGAUUCUGUGCUAUGAUCCAGACUCCUCUUACCUAUGGAAUCGAUUUUGGUGUCCUCUCGAAGUGAAUUUUCUAUCUCAAUAGUCAAUAAAGGCUGGGUUGACCUAAUUUGUAAGUUAUCUACGGCCUCUUUCCCUUGUCUACCUCUCUUGGACAUGUUUCUCGAAGGAAAAUGUAAAGAAAAAACAAAAAGAACUAAA
rnacentral:lncRNA from 1 species